AUGCAAGUCGAACGCGAAAGGGGCACCCCGGUAGCGUGGCGAAAGGGGUAGUAAUGCAUAGGCAACCUACCUUCGGUCCUGGGAUAUACGGUCGAAAGGCCGGGCAAUACUGGACGCCGUUCUGAAGGGGCAUCUCUUCAGAUCGAAAGUUACGGCGACCGAAGAGGGGCUUAUGUCCUAUCAGCUAGUUGGCGGGGUAACGGCCCACCAAGGCGAUGACGGGUAGGGGGUGUGAGAGCACGAUCCCCACCACUGGCACUGAGACACUGGCCAGACUCCUACGGGAGGCUGCAGUCGAGAAUCUUCGGCAAUGGGCGAAAGCCUGACCGAGCAACGCCGCGUGGAGGGUGAAGGCCUUCGGGUUGUAAACUCCUGUUGGGGGGGAACAAAUUUGAGUGACCCCCUGAGGAAGCACGGGCUAAGUUCGUGCCAGCAGCCGCGGUAAGACGAACCGUGCAAACGUUAUUCGGAAUCAUUGGGCUUAAAGAGCGCGUAGGCGGCGGCGUAAGUUGGAAGUGAAAUCCCAUCGGCUCCACCGUGGAAUCGCUCCCAGUACUGCGUCGCUCGAGGGAGAUAGAGGACUGUGGAACUG
rnacentral:rRNA from 1 species